UACAGAGGUGCCGAGCGUUAGGCGGAAUCACUGGGCUUAAAGCGUGUGUAGGCGGACUUCUAAGUACCUUGUGAAAUCCCACGGCUCACCCGUGGAACUGCUGGGUAUACUGGUCGUCUUGAGCCACCUAGGGGCCAGCGGAACAAAUGGUGGAGCGGUGAAAUGCGUAGAUAUGUGGAGGAAUACCAGUGGCGAAGGCGCCUUGCUGGACAGUUACUGACGCUGAGGCACGAAAGCGUGGGGAGCAAACAGG
rnacentral:rRNA from 1 species